rnacentral:rRNA from 1 species
UACGGAGGAUGCAAGCGUUAUCCGGAAUUAUUGGGCGUAAAGCGUCCGCAGGUGGCACUUCAAGUCUGUCGUCAAAGACCGGGGCUUAACCCUGGAAAGGCGAUGGAAACUGAAAGGCUAGAGAGAGGUAGGGGUAGAGGGAAUUCCCAGUGUAGCGGUGAAAUGCGUAGAGAUUGGGAAGAACACCGGUGGCGAAAGCGCUCUGCUGGGCCGCAACUGACACUAAUGGACGAAAGCUAGGGGAGCGAAUGGG